rnacentral:rRNA from 1 species
UACAGAGGGUGCGAGCGUUAAUCGGAAUUACUGGGCGUAAAGGGCGCGUAGGCGGAUAUUUAAGUUAGAUGUGAAAACCCUGGGCUUAACCUAGGACGUGCAUCUAAAACUGGAUGACUGGAGUGCAGUAGAGGAUAGUGGAAUUUCCGGUGUAGCGGCGAAAUGCGUAGAUAUCGGAAGGAACACCAGUGGCGAAGGCGGCUAUCUGGACUGACACUGACGCUGAGGCGCGAGAGCGUGGGGAGCAAACAGG